AGUGGCGGCGCGCCUAACACAUGCAAGUCGAGCGAGAAGCGACCCUUCGGGGACGUGGAAGCGGCGAACGGGUGAGUAUCACGUGGGUAAUCUGCCCUCGGUUCUGGGAUAGCCCGGGGAAACCCGGAUUAAUACCGGAUAGCCUCUUGAGCUCUUGAGCUCUUGAGAAAAGGUAGCUUCGGCCUCUGACCGAGGAUGAGCCCGCGGCGGAUUAGCUUGAUGGUGAGGUAACGGCUCACCAUGGCAACGAUCCGUAGCUGGUCUGAGAGGACGAUCAGCCACACUGGGACUGAGACACGGCCCAGACUCCUACGGGAGGCAGCAGUGGGGAAUCUUGCGCAAUGGGCGAAAGCCUGACGCAGCGACGCCGCGUACGGGAAGAAGGCCUUCGGGUUGUAAACCGUUUUCAGGAGGGACGAAGCCACUCGAGUUAAUAGCUCAGAGGGUGACGGUACCUCCAGAAGAAGCCCCGGCUAACUACGUGCCAGCAGCCGCGGUAAU
rnacentral:rRNA from 1 species